UUCCGUCUCAAACUCUUUUGGCCUCCUCUCCUCUUCCCCCGCUCCCCCCGCCUCGGGUCGGGACCCUCCUCUCCUCCGCCCUCCGACCCUCGCCGGACUCCGGCAGCGGCGCGGCGCGCCCGCAAUUCGCGGGCCCCAAGACAUCUAUAGUCUCCCGCUUCCGCCAACUGCAGCCUCGCCACCGGUGGAUGGCCGCUUGACGAGUCCAGGGGGCCGGAGGAAUCGCAGCUGGGACGCGAGACGACUCGUCUGAGAUGCUGAGCUCAUCGGCGUCGAGGCGGGACGCCGCGAGGAGCAUCGAGCUCCCGCGGCCUCCGGCGGCGGCCGGGAUGUCCCGGAGCGGGGAGCUGCCCAGGGGCGCCUCCGCGGGGCCGGGGCCGGCGCCGGCCGCGGUGCGCCACGAGGGCUGGCUCGUGCGCCACGGGCGGAGGAAGAUCGGGAGGUCCUUCUUCCACAUGCGCUACUUCGUCCUCGACAACAAGCUGUUCGCCUACUACAAGAAGAAGCCCAGGGACAGCAUGAUUCCACUCAAGUCAAUUCUUAUUGAUGGAAAUUGCAGAGUCGAGGAUAGAGGGCUCAAAACACAUCAUGGUCAAAUGAUUUAUUUCCUAUGCAUUUACAACAAGAAACAAAAGGAGAACCAAAUCACGAUGGGUGCACAUAAUAUUGAAGAUGCCCUGGCCUGGAAGAGGAAACUAGAGCUUCUGAUUGAUCAGCAACAGGAUAGUAUGUCAGCUAAAAACCGUAGAGCUUUUGCUUCAUUGGACUUUGACAUAGAUCUUGGAGGACCACUUUCGUUCUCUGAUCAUGACAGUGGUCCUGAAGAUGAAGAAGAGCCCCGGCCCACCUUGCUCCGCCGGACAACUAUAGGGAAUGGCCCUCCUGAUUCUGUACUUGACUGGACCAAGGAGCCUGAUAUUGGGCUGUCUAAUCAGAAUUACACCAAUCAGGCUUACUCCAGAAAAAACUGGAGGCUUCUUAGAUGCCAGAAUGGAUUGUGCAUCUUUGAAGAACUUGUGGAGGUUGAAUACCUUACAAGAAGCUGUAGUCGAGCAAUGAGGGCUGUCGGAGUGGUGGAAGCCUCAUGCGAGGCCAUUUUUGGGCUUGUAAUGGGUAUGGAUGUAACACGAUAUGAAUGGGAUUGUAGCUUCCAAUAUGGAAGUUUAGUUGAAGAGGUUGAUGGCCAUACUGCAAUACUGUACCAUCGUCUACAACUGAACUGGUGUUCAAUGUUAGUCUGGCCUCGAGAUCUUUGUUAUGUACGAUACUGGCGGCGCAACGAUGAUGGAAGCUAUGUCGUGCUGUUUCGAUCUACUGAAAAUCAGAACUGUAGCCCCCAACCAGGAUUUGUUAGAGCUUUUAUCGAAAGUGGAGGUUUCAAGAUUUCUCCUCUCAAAAGCCUCAAUGGUAGACCGCGCACUCAAGUUCAACACCUUAUGCAAAUUGAUCUUAGGGGAUGGGGCGUGAACUAUUUUCCAUCAUUCCAGUACCACUCUUUGUUGCAGAUGCUGAACUGUGUUGCUGGAUUGCGUGAAUAUUUUUCUCAAACAGAUGAAGUUCAUACGGUUCCAAGGAUCCCAGAGAUUCAUGCCAUGGUUAAUUCAGUCUCAAUGAAAGACCAGAAGCUUCAAGAAUCUGAAACAAAGAUCAAACAAACCGAUAAUAAAAUUUUGGAUAUGGUGGAUGAAGAGUCAGAAGAUGAUGAUGACUAUCAAGUUCCUCAAGCUGAUUUGGAGGAAGAACCUACCAAAUCUGACAGUGAUGCUAACAGUUCAGAUCCAAUAGAUUUGUCUUGGUUUUCGGGCAUUAUUCGUCAGGAUGCAAAUGAGAAAAGUCGUAACUGUUGGGCAGUACCUGAUAGCAAGAUCUUUAAAGUUCGUAGCAAGAACUUUCCACAUGACAAAUCAAAGGUACCAGCAGGGAAGUACCUUAUGGAGCUCGUAGCUAUUGACUGGUUUAAGGACACCAGACGUAUGGAUCAUGUUGCUAGGCGGAAAGGAUGUGCAGCUCAGGUUGCUGCUGAGAAGGGAAUGUUCACUUUUCUCGUAAACAUACAAAUUCCUGGAUCAAGUCAUUACAGCUUAGUCCUUUAUUUUGUCUCGAGCUCCUUGAAGAAAGGAUCACUGUUGCAGCGCUUUGCUGAUGGCGAUGAUGAUUUCCGGAACAGCAGAUUGAAGCUUAUCCCAUCUGUUCCGAAGGGGUCUUGGAUUGUGCGGCAAAGCGUUGGAAGCACACCUUGCUUACUGGGGAAGGCUGUCGACUGCAGCUAUUUGCGUGGUCCUGAGUACUUAGAAGUGGAUGUAGAUAUCGGUUCAUCGGCGGUAGCCAAUGGGGUCCUGGGCUUGGUGUUUGGUGUUGUUACCACCUUGGUAGUUGACAUGGCGUUUCUUAUCCAGGCAAACACAUACGACGAGCUCCCGGAGCAACUUCUAGGCGCCGCGCGGCUGUCAAACAUCGAACCCUCCGCGGCAGUCAAUCCUGAGCUUGACAGCAUUUCCUGAGCGGGAUGAAUAAAAAACUGUGCAGAUUCUUUCAUUCUUUCCCCCAAACCCUCUCCAUUUGUUGAGCCACCGCAGCAUUUCGCAGUUUGGUUCAAUGAGGUGCAGACAGACUCAGCAGCAGUGCGUCGCCUUCAUACAGUUUUGUCAUCUGGUGUAGUUUGUUUACAGUUAAUUGCUAUGCAGUAGAUAUAACAAAGACUAUAUACAGCAUGGUUUGGAAACCAAUUCAUGUACAUGUCAGGCUGUGUCAUUAUAUAUUUGUGGAGCAAUAUAUAUACACCUGGUCUUGGUAGAUGAUUUUUUUUGGGUGUACGUUACAUUUGGCUGCUACAUUCAGCAUACUUGAAUUCAUUGUAUGUUUGGUCA